AAGUCGUAACAAGGUUUCCGUAGGUGAACCUGCGGAAGGAUCAUUACCAGGUCCCGGCCUCCCCGCGAGGUCGACCUUCCCACCCGUGUCUACCUUCUCUCUGUUGCUUUGGCGGGCCAGCUGCUCCGGCGCUGGCCUCACCCCCGCACCCGCGGGAGGGCCCGCGCCCGCCAGAGCCCCUCUUCUCACCCAACUGUCUACGUGACCUUAUUUCUGGGCCCCCUCGCGCGCCUCGCGUGCGUCACAAUCGUGAAAACCUUCAACAAUGGAUCUCUUGGUUCUG
rnacentral:misc_RNA from 1 species